rnacentral:rRNA from 1 species
ACUCAAAGGAAUUGACGGGGGCCCGCACAAGCGGUGGAGCAUGUUGUUUAAUACGUCACUAACCGUAGAACCUUACCAGGGCUUGACAUGGCGUGUUCUGCUGUGAAAGCAGCCUUCUCCGCAAGGGGACACGCACACAGGUGUUGCAUGGCUGUCGUCAGCUCGUGUCGUGAGAUGUUGGGUUAAGUCCCGCAACGAGCGCAACCCUCAUCCCAUGUUGCCAGCGGGUAAAGCCGGGAACUCUUGGGAAACUGCCGGGGUAACUCGGAGGAAGGUGGGGAUGACGUCAAGUCAGCAUGGCCCUUACGUCCUGGGCUACAAACAUGCUACAAUGGACGGUAGACAGAGCGAUCCGACACCGUGAGGUAGGGGCAAUCGCAAAAAUCCGUUCUCAGUUCGGAUUGCAGGCUGCAACUCGCCUGCAUGAAGCCGGAAUCGCUAGUAACCGCAGGUCAGCCAAACUGCGGUGAAUACGUUCCCGGGCCUUGUACACACCGCCCGU